CCCUUAGAUGUUCUGGGCCGCACGCGCGCUACAAUGGUCUUCGCAAACGGAUGCAUUCUCGAAGGAGAAUGCCAAUCUUGGAAUCUAUGCCUUGGUCGGGACAGUUGCUUGCAAUUUUUCGACUCGAACCAGGAAUUCCUUGUAAUCGUGAUUCACCACAUCACGAUGAAUACGUCCCUGCCCUUUGUACACACCGCCCGUCGCUCCUACCGAUCGAAGAGUUAGGUGAAUUGUUUUGAUCGAUAAGAUUUGACUAUGGUCAACUCUCGUUGGGAAAUUCUGUGAAUCUGACUGUUUAGAGGAAGGAAAAGUCGUAACA
rnacentral:rRNA from 1 species